rnacentral:lncRNA from 1 species
UGCGCGUGCGCGCAGCGCCAGCCCCGGCCGGCGAGCCUGACAAAGGCGCGGGCGCCCGGCGGCCCCGGGGCGGCGGAGGGGGCGCCGCGAGGCGAGGGGCGGGGGGGGGGGGGGCGGGACGCCGCCGGGGCCGCGCGGAGCCCCACACCCGCGGAGACAAAGCGGCCUCUGAAACAACCUGCCGUCCUGGUGAACACAAUCGAGCAAGGCAGCGAAGCAAAAAUCAUUAGGUAAGCAAGAUAAUCUAAGCGGAAUCUGCUGCCUGCACUCUCACAUCUGGGGGCAGGGUGCACAGCUGGGGCGGCCCCACGAAGCUGGGCUCUUCCUGCCCUGCAGCGCCUUUGUAUGUGUGCUCGGAUAUAUACACUCGUUCAGUUGCAGAUGCACAGCCUUGCGACAGGUUUUAGGAGAUAAACACCCUGAGGCAAGGACACUCAUUGAAGCCCCGGUAUGAAAUAGCUCGAGAGUAUACGAAUUUAAACGGAACCAAAACGCCUGCCAUCCCAUCUAACAACCACCAAAUUAAACCUAACUGCUAUCAGCUCAGGCUUCGGUAUUGGUGGGGAGCCCUAACACCAACCAUUUAGAAACCAUUUAGAAACCUAUAUUUCCAAAAUACAUUUGUAUUUGUUUAUAUGAAGAUUCUGAAUCUAAUGCCUGCCAUGGGUAUAUGGCUACAUAUGUUUAAGUUACAUAUUUAUGUGUGUGUGUGUGUAUAUAUAUAUACACACAUGCACAUAUAUAUACAUAUACACACAACAUAAAAACAUUUAUGCUUACUGUAUGCCAGGUACCAUUAUAGAUGUAUCAUGUCUGCUAACUCAUUGAAUCCUUAAAACAUAACAUAGUACAUUAUUCUCCCCACUUUAUAGACAAGGUAACUGAGGCACAAAGAGUUCAAGCAACUUGUCCAAAGUCAUCCUCCAGUAAGUGGUGGGGCCAGGACUUGAACGCAGGAAGUCUGCCUCUUGUAUCCAGGCUGUCAUCCACUCAGCCAUGCUGUCUCGUAAAAAGAAGUCAAGUCACACAAAUAAUGUUACAUGUCUUUAAAAGGUGGCUGGACUCAGACACAUCACGCUCCAGUUUGGGUUCCAAGGUGCUUCUCUCUGGAUUUUCACCUGCCUUGCCAAAAAUGAUUGAUUACGCCGGGCCGACUGGGUGUCCGGCAAUACCCAACAAAUGACUUUGGCCCCUAACAGCAGGCCUUGGCCAGAUAGAAAUCAAUAUUUCACCAUUAAAAUCUAUCAAAGAAGAGUUAAGGCACCAUCUGUCCCUGCCGCCUCUCUAUGGUGUGUGAACAUUAAAUCCGACACUUGUACUACAUGGGUAAUCAAUAUAUAGUGGUUCACAGAUCAUUUGUGGUUCCCUUUUAGCAGUGAUGGAUGUCUGGAAUCGUUGUGAUUCAUUUUGUCAGACCAUUAAACAAGAUUCUGUCCAGUUCCUUCCUGAUUUCAUUUAGAGGAUCAUUCUUCACAGUUCAUAAGAGGGAAACGGUUUUACCAAUCUGCUUCUAUUUCAAUAAGUCACUUUAUAGAGAUUUUGUGUCCUCCAGACUGUAAAAAUUCUGGAGAGAUAGUACAAACAGACCUCUAAAACUAUUCACCACUGCAUGACAUAUGCAUAAAGUGUGAAGAGAGGAAUGUAAAUAUGUUUACCUCUUUAUCUGCAAAUGUUGGUUUUAACCCCCUCCUGGCUGGAGUGCUGGCCUGUGGGGCACUCCCAGAACAGUGCCUGCCACAGCAGGAGGAGGGUGCACUGGUGACCAGGGACCGAUUCUUAGAGGCAGGGGGAACCUCCUGAUCCCUCAGUGCCAUGGUUAAAAGCAAAUGGGAAUGGCUUUUCCAGAGGCUGCAUUUCAGACCUCUGUUUCUACAGUCGAGAUAAUCUUGCUUCUCACCCAAAAGGUUGGCAAAUGCCUCUCGGUACUCUGGUGCAGCAUGCCAACCCAAGAGAAGAAACAGUGACUGUGCCCUUGAGGGCAGGGUAUGGAUGAGCGUAAGGACACGCAUGAUCAUAACAGCUGCCAUUUGUGGAGCAUCAACGUGUGCCAGGCCCAAAAUAUGCCCCAGUCUCACCCUUGACAAUUUUACAAGAUAGGUACUCUUCUCCCCACUUUCCAGUGGGGAAACUGAGGCUCGGACAAGUUGAAUAACCUGCCUAAGAUUACCCUACCCAGGGAACUGGAGGGUCAUGACCCAGACCCAGACCUGUCUGACACUCAAGAGCCCACGUGACUGUGGCCAGCUCUUGGGUGUUGGCCAUCACUCCACAAAUGGUUUUGUUUCAAGCCAAGUGAAUUACUUUUAGUCCUCCUGGGCUAUAUACUUACUCCAACCAAUCAGGGUACUGUUAGGAAAUAGAACUUUUUUAUUAUUAUUUUAAGUAAUUCUGCAACAGGAUCACUAACUAAUGCACUCCAAAGCGAAACAAUUUAUUUUAAACCAUUUUCCUGUUUUGGAUUAUUGGGUAAUUAUAUCACUUUGGCUGAUAUAAGUACAGAUAAGCAGAUGUUGAUUUAAAUAUUAGUACAAACACAUACACAUAUGUAUAUAUACAGAUAUGUACACAUAUAUGCACAUAUAUUUGAUAUAAUGAUUAUAAAUCAUAAUAUAUAUAUAUAUAUAUAUAUUAUUUGAAAGACUCUAGAGAUGAAGUAGUUUUUCCUUCUUUCCUUUCCUUUUAAAAUUUCCUUUAAAGUAACUGAGUCUCGGAAAGAAUAAAAUCUGACCUGGAUUGAGAAUCUUACUUCCUGAUUUCCAAGUUACAACACUGUACUGAAAGACCGUAAGUGAUAGAAUGUUAUUCAAUUACAAUUUGGGUGGGGGGUGAUAUAUUUGUUGACGGGACAAUUGGGAGAGAGUUGUACUGUGUUGCAGCCGAGCAAGCGGGAAAAUCUCCAGGGCAUUUUUACUUCCACAUAAAUUCACUAACCGCAAUACCUGCCGCAAGGUAAGCAUUCCUUCUGCUAACGGCACAAAGUAAGGCUGGUCGGGCCACUUCAGACCCAAGGCCAUCAGGCCAGACCCAUGCUAGACAACA